UACGGGGGGGGUAAGCGUUGUUCGGAAUUACUGGGCGUAAAGGGCUCGUAGGCGGCCAACUAAGUCAGACGUGAAAUCCCCGGGCUCAACCCGGGAACUGCGUCCGAUACUGGUGGGCUUGAAUCCGGGAGAGGGAUGCGGAAUUCCAGGUGUAGCGGUGAAAUGCGUAGAUAUCUGGAGGAACACCGGUGGCGAAGGCGGCAUCCUGGACCGGUAUUGACGCUGAGGCGCGAAAGCCAGGGGAGCAAACGGG
rnacentral:rRNA from 1 species